ensembl:lncRNA
CAGGUGGCCAAAGUAUUGGAGAUUCAGCAUCAGUCCUUCCAAUGAAUAUUCAGGGUUGAUUUCCUUUAGGAUUGACUGGUUUGAUCUUGCUGUCAAGAGUCUUCUCCAGCACCACAAUUCGAAAGCAUCAAUUCUUUGGCACUCAGCCUUCUUUAUGGUCCAACACUCACAUCUAUACAUGACUACUGGAAAAACCAAAGCUUUGACUAGAUGGACUCCUAACAGCAAAGCUGAUUGAAACUUAUCAGAAACAUCGAUUUGGAUUUAGAAGAAAAAACUAAAGCUCUUAAAGAAGGAACGGGCGUCUUAAGAGAGUUCUCCACCUCUGAAAAUGGUCAAGAAAAACGGUCAGAAGAUUAACACUUAGAGGAGGAUGGAUAAAAAGGUCAGCCUUUAAGACUCAGUAGCAAGAGUACUGGAGUGGGGUGCCAUUGUCUUCUCCGGAGGCCACAUUAUAGCAGGGCUUAAAAAAUCAAGGAGAGAAGUUUGACCUUAAUGUGAAGAGAAGUUUAUAUUUAUUACUUCUAAAAAAUGACUUGAGAAGAAUUAAACUAAAAUGACCCAUGAUCCCUGGGACCAUCCCAUAAAGAUAAAAGAUAAGAGUUAUAGAAAGCAGGGGAGAGAACUCUACCAGAGCCCUAGGCUAAAUCUGGUUAUUAAAACGCCACCAAGUUUAGCUCUGAGUUGCCGGACUGCUUCAGCUCUGAAAAACAAGCCUCUGCAGAAAGCCAAGGAUUAAGUGAUGAAGGAUAGUGGAGUGAGAACCUGGAAACAAAUCUGGAAGAUGACUCAAAGAAGCCUACAAGGGCUUGGCAAGGAAUAGCUG